rnacentral:rRNA from 1 species
AGUGAACGCUGGCGGUAGGCCUAGCACAUGCAAGUCGAACGGCAGCACAGUAAGAGCUUGCUCUUACGGGUGACGAGUGGCGGACGGGUGAGGAAUACAUCGGAAUCUACUUUUUCGUGGGGGAUAACGUAGGGAAACUUACGCUAAUACCGCAUACGACCUACGGGUGAAAGCAGGGGAUCUUCGGACCUUGCGCGAUUGAAUGAGCCGAUGUCGGACUAGCUAGUUGGCGGGGUAAAGGCCCACCAAGGCGACGAUCCGUAGCUGGUCUGAGAGGAUGAUCAGCCACACUGGAACUGAGACACGGUCCAGACUCCUACGGGAGGCAGCAGUGGGGAAUAUUGGACAAUGGGCGCAAGCCUGAUCCAGCCAUACCGCGUGGGUGAAGAAGGCCUUCGGGUUGUAAAGCCCUUUUGUUGGGAAAGAAAAGCAGCAGGUUAAUACCCCGCUGUUCUGACGGUACCCAAAGAAUAAGCACCGGCUAACUUCGUG